GAUGAACGCCGGCGGUGUGCCUAAUACAUGCAAGUCGAACGCGUUGGCCCAACUGAUUGAACGUGCUUGCACGGACUUGACGUUGGUUUACCAGCGAGUGGCGGACGGGUGAGUAACACGUAGGUAACCUGCCCCAAAGCGGGGGAUAACAUUUGGAAACAGAUGCUAAUACCGCAUAACAAUUUGAAUCGCAUGAUUCAAAUUUAAAAGAUGGCUUCGGCUAUCACUUUGGGAUGGACCUGCGGCGCAUUAGCUUGUUGGUAGGGUAACGGCCUACCAAGGCUGUGAGGCGUAGCCGAGUUGAGAGACUGAUCGGCCACAAUGGAACUGAGACACGGUCCAUACUCCUACGGGAGGCAGCAGUAGGGAAUCUUCCACAAUGGGCGCAAGCCUGAUGGAGCAACACCGCGUGAGUGAAGAAGGGUUUCGGCUCGUAAAGCUCUGUUGUUAGAGAAGAACGUGCGUGAGAGCAACUGUUCACGCAGUGACGGUAUCUAACCAGAAAGUCACGGCUAACUACGUGCCAGCAGCCGCGGUAA
rnacentral:rRNA from 1 species